AUGGUUAAAUAAAGAGAUGCUGAAAAUAAAUCAGAGGAAAGUCCAAGCUCCCUAUAGAAACAGAACUGGUUAACAUCCAGUCAAACAAUUUUGAAGGAAAGUGCCACAGAAAAAAAACUACUAUAACUAGUACAGGUGAAAAGGUGUGAUAAAUGCAUACCGCAAAUUUAGAAAUAAAUUUGGCAAGGCAAACCCUUCUAGGUGCAAGGUAUUAAAUGAAAACUCAUUCUUGAAAUACGCUAAAAAUCCCGCUCAUAUAUUAUUGCAAUAAUAUUUUAGAUAAAUAUCUCUUAUAUAAGGUUUGAGACAUCCCUUAUACAACAGAACUUGGCUUAUUUUACAACCAUGCAA
rnacentral:RNase_P_RNA from 1 species